ensembl:lncRNA
GGGGGGGGGGGGGGGGGGGGGGGGGGGGGGGGGGGGGGGGGGGGGGGGGGGGGGGGGGGGGGGGGGGGGGGGGGGGUCGUCCUUUGGGAUUCUGGGUCGUUACCUGGAAUUCCUUUGGGAUCCUGAGGAAUUUACCUGUAAUUCCUUAGGGAUCCUGGGUCAUUACCUGGAAUUCCUUUGGGAUCCUGAGGAAUUUACCUGGAAUUCCUUUGGGAUCCUGGGCCGUUACCUUUUUUCCAGGAACCCACCUGGAAUUCCUUUGGGAUCCCGGGGAACUCACCUGGAAUCCCUCAGGAAUCCCUUCGGUUUUCCCCGUUUCCAGCCCCUCUGGGGGGGUCUCCCCCCUGCCCUCAGAGCCCGGCUCCGGAGGGUCCAGCGUUUGGGGUUUGGGUUUGCCCUGCCCUGCGCUGUCCCUGACGGGGGUUCCCCGUUUUCUCCCCGUUUUCUCCCCGUUUUCCUCUCCCCGUUUUCCUCCCUGCCCGUGCCCAGUCUGCGGGAAGCGCUACAAGAACCGCCCGGGGCUCAGCUACCACUACGCGCACUCGCACCUGGCCGAGGAGGAGGGCGACGACAAGGACGACUCGCAGCCCCCCACGCCCGUCUCCCAGCGCUCCGAGGAGCAGAAAUCCAAGAAGGGCCCGGACGGGCUGGCCCUGCCCAACAACUACUGCGACUUCUGCCUGGGAGACUCCAAGAUCAACAAGAAAACGGGGCAGCCCGAGGAGCUGGUGUCCUGCUCCGACUGCGGCCGCUCCGGUGGGAUGGGAUUGGGAUUGGGAUUGGGAAUGGGAAUGGAUUGGGAUUGGGAAUGGAUUGGGGUGGGAUUGGGAAUGGGAUUGGGAAUGGAUUGGGAUUGGGAAUGGAUUGGGAUUUCGAAUGGGACUGGGAAUCGGAUUGGGAUUGGGAAUGGGAUUGGGAAUGGGAUGGGAUUGGGCUGGGGAGGGUCUUUGGGAUCGUGGAUCCAGGGGUUUCCUCCUCCUGGAGGAGCUGGUGUCCUGCUCCGACUGCGGCCGCUCCGGUGGGAUGGGAUUGGGAUUGGGAUUGGGAAUGGGAAUGGAUUGGGAUUGGGAAUGGAUUGGGGUGGGAUUGGGAAUGGGAUUGGGAAUGGAUUGGGAUUGGGAAUGGAUUGGGAUGGGAUGGGAUUGGGAAUGGGAAUGGGAAUGGGAUUGGGAUUGGGGUGGGAUGGGAUUGGGAAUGGGAUGGGGAUUGGGAAUGGGAUGGGAUUGGGAUUGGGAUGGGAUUGAGAUUGGGGAGGGAAUGGGAUGGGAUUGUGGAGGGAUUGGGAUUGGGAUGGGAUUGGGAUUGGGGCUGGGAUUUGGAACGGGAUUGGGAUUGGGCUGGGAUUGGGAUUGGGCUGGGAUUGAGGAGGGAUUGGGGUGGGAUUGGUGAAGGAUUGGGGCUGAGAUUGGGGUGGGAUUUGGGCUGGGAUUGAGGAGGGAUUGGGAUGGGAUGGGGCUGGGAUUUGGGUUGGAAAGGACUUUUGGGAUUGUGGAUCCAGGGGUUUCGUCCUCCUGGAGGAGCUGGAUGGGGGCUGAGGUUGGGGAAUCAAGGAAUGGUCGGGAUGUCCCUGAUGGCUGUCCCUGCUGUGUCCCU